UAUGUUUUGUACAAUAAGAGAUGAGGUGUAAAGGUAUCUCGUGUUCAGCAGUGGCACGGCCUAAUUAUUAUUGAGUCAGUGCUCAAAGAAGGUGAAAAGCCUGUAUGGUUGCGCCGAUCUGUUGAACCGUGAUACUGGAGAGUCUAGUUGUUUGAGAGUACAACUUAAAGUUGGUGGUAAAUUUCAUCAAAGGCUAAAUAUACGAAGGGACUAAUAGCGAACAAGUACCAUGAGGGAAAGUUGAAAAGAACUCUGACGAGAGAGUUCAACAGUACGUGAAACCACAUUGAGUAAAACAGAUAACUGUGCUGUUAUGUGGUGUGCCUAUCAACAGUCACUUCGGCGUUGCCACGUUUUGGGUGUAGGCUGUCUAUUCAGCUGAAUGCCUACAACUAGCAUAGUCGGAGGUGCUGUGCACUAGUGCGCACUCGAUCAUUGAGAAGCUAUGCCGCUGCUGCAUCGGUAUGUGUCAGUCCGCACUUAGUGUGUAGUCACAUGCUGGGUUGUGCUAGCCUUGGCGUAGUUUAGCUGUGUGACAGCUGUGGGUUGCGUUUGUCGAUUGUAGCUGCUGUAUCUGCGAAUUGGUUUAUUCCUUUUUGCGGCGAGUAUGUUGCAGGACGCAAGCAGCCCGCCAUCAAUGGUUAGCAUUAGUUAUUUGACCCGUCUUGAAACACGGACCAAGGAGUUCAAAUGGCACGCGAGUCAUUGGGUUUAGUCACCCGAAGGCGAAGUGAAAUGCAAACGUAUUGUUAUUUGUGGUUGUUCCAUGAUUAAGCGAUAAGCUACUUAUGCUUUCUGGCAUUUGUAGACUACAAGCGUGAUGU
rnacentral:rRNA from 1 species